rnacentral:pre_miRNA from 1 species
UCUUAUGGAUAAGAAAAGAAAGUAGGUUCUUGAGAAGGAACCUACUCCUUUUGAAGAUGCUGUGAA